UUAUGGCCACACCACAUUGAAACACCACUUCCCUGUACAAUCACUGAAGUUAAGCAAUGUUGAGCCUGGUUAGUAUCUAGAUGGUGACUGCUUGGGAAUACCAGGUGCUAUA